rnacentral:rRNA from 1 species
CCUACGGGGGGCAGCAGUGAGGAAUAUUGGUCAAUGGACGAGAGUCUGAACCAGCCAAGUAGCGUGAAGGAUGACUGCCCUAUGGGUUGUAAACUUCUUUUAUAUGGGAAUAAAAUGUUCCACGUGUGGGAUUUUGUAUGUACCAUAUGAAUAAGGAUCGGCUAACUCCGUGCCAGCAGCCGCGGUAAUACGGAGGAUCCGAGCGCUAUCCGGAUUUAUUGGGUUUAAAGGGAGCGUAGGUGGAUUGUUAAGUCAGUUGUGAAAGUUUGCGGCUCAACCGUAAAAUUGCAGUUGAAACUGGCAGUCUUGAGUACAGUAGAGGUGGGCGGAAUUCGUGGUGUAGCGGUGAAAUGCUUAGAUAUCACGAAGAACUCCGAUUGCGAAGGCAGUUCACUGGACUGCAACUGACACUGAGGCUCGAAAGUGUGGGUAUCAAACAGGAUUAGAUACCCUAGUAGUC